AUGUCCCGCACGCUGGUGCAGCCGGUGGGGCAGAAGCGGCUGACCAACGUGGCCGUGGUGCGGCUGCGCAAGGGCGGCCAGCGGUUCGAGAUCGCCUGCUUCCCCAACAAGGUGGUCAACUGGCGCGACCGCGUCGAGAAGGACCUCGACGAGGUGCUCCAGUCCCACAACGUCUACUCCAACGUCUCCAAGGGCGUCCUCGCCAAGUCCAAGGACCUCAUCAGGAUCUUCGGCACCGACGACCUCGUCGAAAUCUGCCUCGAGAUUUUGGAGAAAGGGGAGCUACAGGUGUCUGGCAAGGAGAGGGAGGCGCAGCUGUCCGCGCAGUUCAGGGACAUCGCCACCAUCGUCAUGGAGAAGACUAUCGAUUCUGAGACCCGGCGCCCCUACACCAUGAACAUGAUCGAGCGCCUCAUGCACGACAUACACUUUGCGGUCGAUCCAAACGUUACCUCCAAGGAACAGGCACUGAGAGUCAUUAAGAAGCUAAUUGAGAACCCUAAAUGCUCGAUAAAGCGUGCACCAUUGACAGUGAGGUUCAUUGCACCUAAGUCCAAUCUUUCUGGCCUUAUGGAGAAGCUUGAUGGGUGGAAUGCAAUUGUUCUUUCAAAGGAUGAAUCUGCUGAUCAGUCUUCCAUUGUAUGUGAGAUUGAACCAUCUGUUCUGCACUCGUGUGAAGAGAAACUGAAGGACGUGCAAGGGAGGGUGGAAGUACUCUCGGUGUCGGCACACAAAGAAGGUGGCUCUUCUACAGACCAAUAUGAUAAUGUCGAGGACAAUGUGGAGAAGGCACAGCCUGUCCCUGCGAAGGAGUCUGGUGCUGUUGCUCAGCUAAGUGAGACCAUGCAGAAACAGAGCCUUUCAAGUGAAGUGGACAGCCAGGGUCAGGCACCAGGCAAGCCGCAGAAAAGAUGCAGAGAAUGUGACGUAUUCAUGGAGGACAAGCUGUACAGAGACCACUGCAAGUCCGGGUGGCACAAGCACAACUACACACGCCACAAGAAUGGGCUUCCUCCGCUCAGCCAAGAGGAGUGCUUGAUGGAAAUGGAGAUGGCAGAGUCCCAGAGGGGCCUGAAGGACUACGAUUUCUGA
rnacentral:rRNA from 1 species